rnacentral:rRNA from 1 species
AUUGAACGCUGGCGGCAGGCCUAACACAUGCAAGUCGAACGGUAACAGGAAGCAGCUUGCUGCUUUGCUGACGAGUGGCGGACGGGUGAGUAAUGUCUGGGAAACUGCCCGAUGGAGGGGGAUAACUACUGGAAACGGUAGCUAAUACCGCAUAACGUCGCAAGACCAAAGAGGGGGACCUUAGGGCCUCUUGCCAUCGGAUGUGCCCAGAUGGGAUUAGCUAGUAGGUGGGGUAACGGCUCACCUAGGCGACGAUCCCUAGCUGGUCUGAGAGGAUGACCAGCCACACUGGAACUGAGACACGGUCCAGACUCCUACGGGAGGCAGCAGUGGGGAAUAUUGCACAAAGGGCGCAAGCCUGAUGCAGCCAUGCCGCGUGUAUGAAGAAGGCCUUCGGGUUGUAAAGUACUUUCAGCGGGGAGGAAGGGAGUAAAGUUAAUACCUUUGCUCAUUGACGUUACCUGCAGAAGAAGCACCGGCUAACUCCGUG